rnacentral:lncRNA from 1 species
CUGUAAAAUCCUGUGAUGUAUCUCCUGAAAAAAUGCUGCAAAGUUUCCCACAUGAUCUUCAUAAAAUAUCUUUCUGCAAAAUCUCAGAAGCAGAAGAAAAAAUCUAUUUAAAGAACAAGUAUAACAUGUAUUCCAGGCUACCUUAAGGAUGAUGGUAAGAAAUGACACUAACUGAAUGUUACAUUAAAAAAAAAAGGAAAAAAAAAAGCUAGUUUCUUUUGAAAUGCCAGAGAUUUUGUUUGAAAAGAAGGAUGCAUUGGGACAAUACACAGGUGUAAGCAGUAGCUUUUAGUGCAGACAUUGUCCUUGUGCAGCCUUGUCCCAGUGAACCUAUGAGGAUAAUAAAAAGUAUCAGAUAUUACAUCUUAUCCUGUAGACUCAACUCAUAUGAGCAAAUCCCAUUGCCCUUGCAGGUCGCACUCCUGUACACGACCCAGAAGAAAAGGUGAGUGACCAAGAGCCAUUAUUAACUCCCUCUAGAGUUGCCUCCAGUGGGGAGAAGGAGAGGGAAGAAAUUGUGAAUUAUUCACAAUUUUCAGUUUAUCCCUAAUCCCCUAAUUCUGUCUUUCUGAGGGUAGAGACUUUUACUUAAUGGCAGUGCCAGAAAUAACAAGCUAAAAUUACAUGUUUACGAAAUGGGGUCUUAGUUACUUAUUAGGAUCAACUGGGCUUGAAUUAAUGUUGGCUCACAUUCAAGAGCACUGAGUGGACUGAAUAAGCAUCACAGUUUUAAAACUCGUUAAUGGUUGUUUGUUGUAUGUAUUUAAUAUACUAGAAACAUCCAGGCAUGCUAUACCAUAGUUUUCUUAUAAACUUACAGACACUGAAAAAUAUGGCUAAUGUACCACUACAUUCUUUGGAUUUGUAGCUCUACUUACACCAGUGAUCGAAGAAUGAAGGCAAUUCUGAAUAUAUCAUCUGUCUCAGAAGAUAAAGCAACAUCAGAGCUAGAAUCUUACUGCAGAUGGUGUGACCUGCCUUCAGUGAGACUUCUCCAUGAAACAUUCUUGGAAUUAACAAUAUCAUCAGACUGCAUCUAAACAAUGUUUGGCAAGUAUUCAAUUUUUUAAACCCGCAUCCAAUACUCUGACUUUAAAAGAAAGUCAUAAAUGUUCUUUGGAUGGCAAAAUAAAUAUUACCAAUACUGAGGGAAGAGGAAAGAU